UUCAAGAAACGUGGUUUUGAGUCGAGGGAAGACCUCCCGUUCAAAUCGACUUCUGUUCGGACGUUUUUGUACUUUUGGCGGACAAUUUCCGUGGCUAAUAUUAUGCAAAACUAUCACAGGGUUAAGCUGGCACACAGAAUAUCACCACGUCAUGUACAAGGAAUUGCUGACUAUGACCAAGGUCACGCUUCGAGAUCUCGCGCAACAUCUACCUGUCAACAAACGGAUGUCCAAGACCAAUACAGGAGCUUUACUCUCCAUCAAAAGUCGGGCUUUGAGAUCUCCAGCAACAUCUACCUGUCAUCAAAUAAGUAGAGAUGUCCAAGGCCAGCCUCUUUAGCAGGAGCUUCACUCUAGUUUAAGUAGACAUGCACCUUGUGCUUACAACUCCAGAAGACUGCUAGUAUCGACAGCUCGAUGUGUCCAUUUUCUAUACAAUGUCUGUCCGCCACCGUCAUGAAGAUGUCAAGAGAUCACCGGUAACAAGGUCAUACUGAUCUGAAUAUGAUGUAGGCCUACAACUUAAAAGGGCCAAUAGUUCCUGAAACCAAGUACCAAUGCAGUCUCCCCAUCUGACACCUUACAGGCUGCAGGGUAUAAAGGAGAGCAAGCACGUAUGAAAACAUCAGUAUCAUCGAGACAUCCUAGCAGCUCAUGUGGAUCAUGAAUGAACAAAAGUAAGAUAUUCUUUUUUAGAUCAGUAAAGCCCAGUUAAUACUUCCUGCGAAUGCCAAGCGAAUGUUCCGAACGUCACAAAUUCUUAACAAAUAAUUAACAGCAGCUCAACUCUGCUCAACUCGCUUGCGAAUAUCGUUGCGAAAGGAGGGUUGUGACGUCAAAUUUGCAUUCGCAGGAAGUAUGAACCGUGCUUUACAUGUGUUGAUAUUUGAUGCUUUACAUGUGGUGGGUUGUUUUGGCAGCUCACUAUACAGUUGGCAUCUUGUAAAUAAGUACACAUUUGCAAGCAAGCAAGCAUAAACUCGUUUUUUUUGCGCGCUAACUUGGUGGUGCCUGCGGAUCGAAAUGGUAGUGCGUGUGGAUCGAAAUAAAUGGUGGUGCGUGCGGAUCGAAAUAAAUGGUGGUGCCUGCGGAUCGCAAGAUUAAAGGGACCUGCCCCCGAUUUCACGAAGCGCUGCGACGCGUCGCAAGUGCAAGUUGCGACCGGUUACACGCCGUAAGUUGCGAUGCGUAUAAAUCGAUUUCAUCAAAGUUACGAUGCGUCGGAUACGUCGCAAGUUCCUUGACAACGAGGAAGAACACGUCGUAAGUUACGACUACCCAUAGGGUCGUCGUAAAAAUGCUAUGUUGCAUUUGUUUACGCACAAAAUGCAUGAAAGGACAUAACAAUUACCACACGUAACUUCCGUGAACCAAUCGGGAAGACACUAGA